rnacentral:rRNA from 1 species
ACAUGCAAGUCGAACGAAGUAGCAAUACUUAGUGGCAGACGGGUGAGUAACAUGUAGGUAUCUACCCUUUGGCCUGGAAUAACACGAGGAAACUUGUGCUAAUACCGGAUAAGUCUUUACGGAGAAAGCUUUAUGCACCAUUGGAUGAGCCUGCACUUGAUUAGUUUGUUGGUGGGGUAAUGGCCUACCAAGACUGUGAUCAAUAGCUGAUUUGAGAGGAUGAUCAGCCACAUUGGGACUGAGACACGGCCCAAACUCCUACGGGAGGCAGCAGUGGGGAAUCUUGCACAAUGGAGGAAACUCUGAUGCAGCGAUGCCGCGUGAGUGAAGAAGGCCCUUGGGUUGUAAAGCUCUUUCGUCGGGGAAGAAAAUGACUGUACCCGAAUAAGAAGGUCCGGC